AGAGCCGAUUCACAAGGAAGGCAAAGUGCAAUAGAGCAGCACAGAAAUUCACGCUUCAUCUUGAAAUCUAUGGGCAGGGAAAGGGGAGAGAGAAGAGAGGAAGGAAGAGGAGAAGAAAAAGAGGAGGAGAUCUGGCUACCACACACAGACCUGGUGUGGGGAGGAGGUAGGCAGAAAGAUGAAUGCUAAUGCACAGGUGUCCCCUUCUUCUGGUUGUCACGGUUACCUCCUGGGGGGACCAGGAGUAUUUAAUGAGACUUGCGUCUUUGCACAAUUUCAUCAAGCAGCUUCCAAAAUCUAAAUGAUCGAGUUAUGGUCACAAAUAAAGU